ensembl:snoRNA
AAGUCUGAUCACUUACACUCAUUCAGUACUACCAGUGUCUCCAAAUGCACGCAAAAGCAACCUGGAGAGACAUGGGCAGCACAGGUGAGCACAACCCCUGCAGUUGCUGCUGCCUUUCCUAGAAUG